rnacentral:rRNA from 1 species
CAGUCGCCGCGGUAAUACGUAGGUGGCAAGCGUUGUCCGGAAUUAUUGGGCGUAAAGGGCUCGCAGGCGGUUUCUUAAGUCUGAUGUGAAAGCCCCCGGCUCAACCGGGGAGGGUCAUUGGAAACUGAGAAACUUGAGUGCAGAAGAGGAGAGUGGAAUUCCACGUGUAGCGGUGAAAUGCGUAGAGAUGUGGAGGAACACCAGUGGCGAAGGCGACUCUCUGGUCUGUAACUGACGCUGAGGAGCGAAAGCGUGGGGAGCGAACAGGAUUAGAGACCCCUGUAGUCCCUGUCCUUAUACA